CAUGAGAGCAGUGCACCGGUCUAUGGAAAUUGUCAGAACAUGAUGGAUGUGGAUCAUCAUGCUUUGCAGAAGGCUGGGGAGAAGUUUUCUGAAAUUUAAAAAGCUCACUGUAACGCUCCAUUGAUCAGUGAUCGUGGGAGCCGAACAGCUGAGUGAGGACAUGAUGGUUUUGGGAUAGCGCAUAUGUUGCUCGCACCCUGUUUGCCAGCUGCAGCCCUUUGUAUCACUGCAAG